GGGGGAAAAAUUAAUAAAUAUUAGUAUAAAAAAAGAAAUUUUAAAGUAAAAUACUGAAUGGGGGUUUAAGUAUUUUUAUGGAAAAAAUUUUUAAUUUUAUAGAAAAUUAGUAUUGUAAAAGAAUUUUGAAAAAUAAUUAAAAUAAAUUUAAUAGAAAGUAAAUUUAAUUUAUUGUAUCUUGGGUAUCAGAGUUUAUCAAAAAUAAAUUAUAUAAAUAAUAAUCUCGAAUUUAAAAGAGUAAAUUAAUUAUUUAAAUUAGUAUUUUAAAAUUAUUUAAAAUAAUUAAUUGGAAAUGAAAUGUUAAUCGUUUUUAAAUAUAUCUAGUUUUUUUAGAAAAAAAUUUAAUUUUAAAUAUUAUUAAUUUUAAUUUUUAUUAAUAAAAAUUAAAAAAAAAAUAAAUAUUUUAUAUUUUAAGGGAUAAGCUUUAAAUUAAAUUUUUAUAAUUAAUUUUAUUUUAAUUAUAAAAUUUUUAAAAUUUACAUUUUUUAUAAAUUAUAAUUUUUUAUAAAUAAUUUUAUUAAAAUUAAAAUUUAAAAUUUAUAUUUAAAUAUUUAUAAAAAAAUAAUUUUUAAUAAAAAUAAAUUAGAUAUAAUGAUAAAAUUAGUACAAAAUUUUAUAAAUGAAAAAAUAAAAAUUUAUAAAAUUUAAAUAAAGGAAUUCGGCAAAAAAAAAUAUUCACCUGUUUAACAAAAACAUGUCUUUUUGAAAAUAAUUUAAAGUCUAAUCUGCCCACUGAAAUAAAUUUAAAGGGCUGCAGUAUAUUGACUGUACAAAGGUAGCAUAAUCAUUAGUCUUUUAAUUGAAGACUUGUAUAAAUGAUUGGAUGAAAUAUAAUCUGUCUCUAUUUAAAAAAUGAAAUUUAAUUUUUUAGUUAAAAAGCUAAAUUAAAAUUAAAAGACGAGAAGACCCUAUAGAGUUUAAUAUUAAAAAAUUAUUAUUAAAAUAAGGAAAAAUUAACACUAAAAUUUUUUAAAUAUUUUAUUGGGGUGAUGGAAAAAUAAAAUAAACUUUUUUUAAAUAAUAAACAUAAAUAAAUGAAAUUAUGAUCCAUAAUUUAUGAUUAUAAGAAAAAAUUACCUUAGGGAUAACAGCGUAAUUUUUUUUUUUAGUUCAAAUAAAAAAAAAAGUUUGCGACCUCGAUGUUGGAUUAAGAUAAAAUUUAAAUGCAAAAGUUUAAAAUUUUGAUCUGUUCGAUCAUUAAAAUCUUACAUGAUCUGAGUUCAAACCGGUGUGAGCCAGGUUGGUUUCUAUCUUUAGUAAAAUAAAAUAUUUUAGUACGAAAGGAUCAAAUAUUUAAAAUAAUUUUAUAUAAUUUGAAUAUUACUAAUAAUAUAUUU
rnacentral:rRNA from 1 species